rnacentral:lncRNA from 1 species
AUAUAAAAGAUGGUCAAAUUGACCUCAUUAUUAGUUUAAACAUUGUUAGCAAUUAUCUUUUUCCAAUCCUUCUUACCCACCAGUUGAUGAGGAUGAUUUGUUCUUCGUCUUCUUUGAUAGAUCCGCAACAGUAGGUAGAACCGGAAAGACCAUCCGUGCUGGUGUUGCAAGCACAAUUCUAGUCUCAGUAGUAACUGGUGCUAUCUUUUUCUUCUUUUAGGCGCACCUAUGCACGGACAGAUAUGUUAGCAAAAAUGCUGCUUUGCCUUCUGGGUCACCAUGCUUACAAGUGUAUCAAUGAUGUCCAUAUUGCUGAUAUACUGGACACUGAUGCCUACCCUUGGCUCCUUUGCUGUCACCAUCUGUUGCUCCCUUGUAACCUUUUUUUUUUUGUCAUAGGAUAUCAACAUUGUCCCAUAGUGAAAUUUCUGGUGGAUCAACAUCAGAUUUAUGGUUUGUGACUGACAUGCAAGAACACUUAGAACUCAUAUGUUUCGUGAACAUAUUCAUUAAGUCUUGGUCAGAAUAAAUUUGUACGUUGGACUUGCUAUCAGCACAGAAAUAGGACAACUUCAGUACAGUACCAUACCCACAAGGAAACUAGUCCACAAUUUCAUCAAGAAGGUCUUUAAAAUUUAUGUCUGAACCAACAACUUGCAUACCAUGGUCCUCAGUUCCUCACAAUUGGGAGUAAUUAUACUGAUUUUUAGAUUGAAACUGGUCUCAAUGUCAUUUCUACAUAUGAACCAUAUAGAGUUUACUCACAUAUACACAUUUCAAUCCAAUCCUAACGACACAUGGCACUACUGUUAUGCAUUCGAAGAAAGAAAACAAGAAGCGCUCACGCCGUCACGCGUCCGGAAGCCAAGCUGGUCGCCC